rnacentral:rRNA from 1 species
CACGAGCGGCGAACGGGUGAGUAACACGUGAGCAAUCUGCCCUUCUCAUCGGAAUAACCAUUGGAAACGAUGGCUAAUGCCGAAUAUGACCUCGGAUCACAUGUUCUGAGGUGGAAAGCUCCGGCGGAGAAGGAUGAGCUCGCGGCCUAUCAGCUUGUUGGUGAGGUAAUGGCUCACCAAGGCAUUGACGGGUAGCCGGCCUGAGAGGGUGACCGGCCACACUGGGACUGAGACACGGCCCAGACUCCUACGGGAGGCAGCAGUGGGGAAUAUUGGACAAUGGGCGAAAGCCUGAUCCAGCAACGCCGCGUGAGGGAUGACGGCCUUCGGGUUGUAAACCUCUUUCAGCAGGGACGAAGCGAAAGUGACGGUACCUGCAGAAGAAGGACCGGCCAACUACGUGCCAGCAGCCGCGGUAAUACGUAGGGUCCGAGCGUUGUCCGGAAUUAUUGGGCGUAAAGGGCUCGUAGGCGGUUUGUCGCGUCGGGAGUGAAAACUCAGGGCUCAACCCUGAGCGUGCUUCCGAUACGGGCAGACUAGAGGUAUUCAGGGGAGAACGGAAUUCCUGGUGUAGCGGUGGAAUGCGCAGAUAUCAGGAG